UUAAAAGGUAUUCACAAUAAAACGUGGUGCUGUGUUGCUAUGCUGGCUCCAAUAAAGAAUGGGCUUAUUGGUUAGCAUCUAUUUGACGACAGGUCAUAAAUCCUCCUUAAACUUUACUAAACACUAAUUCGCCCAAUCUGUUUUGACUGACUUUGUGGGGGUACGAGCAUUAAUUAGGGGAUUAUGGACCCCUACAAAUGAUCCAUAAUCCACACCCUGUGCAAUUGCAAUGACUAUCUGUACUCUGCAUUGGGGUUUACUUAUUUUUGUCAGUGAACAGGUUACAAAUAUUUGCACACUCCCAAAUACACACACCACAUUCAUUCCUGCGUAAACAGAUUGAAUAAUUUAUUAAUUCGUUCUGAUUCAGUCAACUUGCGGUUUAGAUUACAAAAUGCAUUGCUUCCUGCUACAGCCUAACUGUGUCAUGUCCAAAGACAGGCACUGAGACCAACCCAUAAUAACAUCCGAAUCCAUCACCCGCUAUCUCUACCGCGCGCGCUCUGCACAUGAAUCAAGCAGGGACCUUAAUAUGCAUGGCACCCAGGAUCUCGCCUCGGGCAUCGCGGGAUAUCACAGAGAUCUCGACCGGCUGAGCUCACCGUCUCUGGACCGCUGCAAACGAGCCAGUCACCAUCGCGAAAUAACAAGCCUGAGCUGUCGAGCAGCACUGCAGACGCGCGAGCAGGAGCGCAGUGCUGCACUACGGCACGACCGAGCGCGUGUCUCGCAUCUCUGCCAGAUUGACACCCAGUAACAGCCAGCUGGUCGACAUUAAGACAACCCAGCGGGGAGGUAAACUGAAACAGCAUAGCCAAGCGCGAGAUGACAUGAGCUGUGUUAUGAGAGACACUGUAGGCUGCCUACUACAUUAAACGCUGCGUUCAUGAUGGACAGACAUCCUAUAUAAACUAAUAAAACAGCCAUGAGGAAUAUGUGCAACUUAACGCACAAUUAUAUUCAAAGACCACCAAAUGACACAGACCAAAGAGAGGAGGUAUGAAAAGAGUGGAUUUAAAGGCAGGGUGGGUGGGAUCUAUUGAAGUGUGCUGCAUUUUCCAAAGGCACUGCAGAGGUGAGGCAGACCUUCAAGGAAUAUCCAGCACAGGGAGGAAGCCGCAGGCAGCAGCAGCAGCAGCAAUGGUGCUACACACUCCUCAACACACACACUCACACUCACUCAGCCUCUGCGAUAUUGUUAUUGAGGUUUGUGGAAGGGGACGGCAGAAGGCUCUCAUAACAAGCGCUAUACUGUGAGGCUGAACACACCUCCCUCCACAGAGCUCAUCCAAUGGCAGACGCAGGGUCAGGCACACUAACACACACACAUCAGCAGCAGCAGCCAACACCCCCAUACAGAUCCCCAUCAUGUUCAGAUGCUAUAGGAUUAAAGUAGUGCAUGCUAAAAGAUUAUGCUGUUGUUUAUCCACAUUGCCUAUACAAUAUGUAUGCUGCUUGAGCUUUGCACUGACAUGUGUAUGUGUGUCCAGCUGGAGUGUAGUGUGUGUGUCACUGAUACUGAGGAGGGUUUAGUGUGGUAAAGUGAUUUAAAAAACAGCACAGCUCAGCUGGGGCUGAAAGAGUACAGGACAUGCCUCUCAUUCUUGAGCUCGCUGCUCUAUUUCUUCGCAUUUCCAGACUCCAGGCUUCUUCCCAGGGCUGGUGUGCCUGCAUUCUGUUAGACUGCGUGGUGUACACUGUAGGGAAUGAGAAGAGGUGCAUUUAAUCAGCUACACUCAUAUAAGUAGAAUGUAUGUUUUACUUGAAGUUCUUUUUAUUACAUAAUUAUGUAUGCAUUGUAUUUAAAUUGUUCUGUUUAGCAAUACAACAAAAUAAA